AACGAACGCUGGCAGCAUGCCUAACACAUGCAAGUCGAACGAGAUCUUCGGGUCUAGUGGCGCACGGGUGCGUAACGCGUGGGAAUCUGCGCUUUGGUUCGGAAUAACAGUUGGACACGACUGCUAAUACCGGAUGAUGACGAAAGUCCAAAGAUUUAUCGCCAGAGGAUGAGCCCGCGUAGGAUUAGGUAGUUGGGGUGGUAAAGGCGCACCAAGGCGACGAUCCUUAGCUGGUCUGAGAGGAUGAUCAGCCACACUGGGACUGAGACACGGCCCAGACUCCUACGGGAGGCAGCAGUGGGGAAUAUUGGACAAUGGGCGAAAGCCUGAUCCAGCAAUGCCGCGUGAGUGAUGAAGGCCUUAGGGUUGUAAAGCUCUUUUACCCGGGAUGAUAAUGACAGUACCGGGAGAAUAAGCUCCGGCUAACUCCGUGCCAGCCGCCGCGGUAA
rnacentral:rRNA from 1 species